AAAAGCAGCGCAGGGCAGAGCAGGCAGGGAGGGCGGCCGGAGCCCGGACACGGGAGCCUCCCAGUCAGUUCAAGACCCGACAUGAGGGAAAAGGGACGUAGGAAGAAGGGCAGGACCUGGGCGGAGGCCGCCAAGACGGCAGGAGUGCAGUGGCUUCACAUGUAUGAUCGUGGUAUACUACAGCCUUGAACUUCUGGGCUCAAGUGAUCAUCCUGUCCAGGCUUCCCAAGUAGCUGGGACUACAGAGACGGGUCUCACCAAGUUUUUCAGGCUGGUCUCCAACUCCUAGACUCAAGCGAUCUGCCUGCCUCGGCCUCCCAGAGUGUUAGGAUUACAGGUGUGAACCACUGCACCUUGCCUGCAUUGACUUUAGGAUUAUGUUCAAAGUUACGCUCAUUAAAAAGGAAGAUGAAUCGUCUAAAUAUUUGAUUACAUCCCGAGGAUUUUAGCAGUUUUUGCAAAGCAAAACUUUGAAAAUAGCAGUCUUAUCCAACUUGUUUACUUUUUGACUUUUCCCUCCUUACCCAUCGCUGGAGAAGCGUUACAAGGCAAAAGAGUUCCAAAAGGACAAAUGUUAUGUGUGUGAUGGUAGGUGGAAGAGAUGGAGAGGCAGACUUUAGAGAUUAUACACUGAAGGGACGUUGGGUAUUUUUUUGGGAGGAAAGUGAUGAAACAUAUGAGAAACAAGGUGUGGGUGUUAGAGAUGAGGAAUAUAACCUGUAGUUUAGAUCUUUGGAAUAUAAUUUGUAGACUAAAGAAAAAGUUUUUUUUUUUUUUUAAUUUAUGUAGACUUGAUUCCUUGGUUAAUAUUUUGAAUGUAUACAAUAUUUUAGUUUUUGUCAUUUACCUUAUUUAAUUUUAGGGAAUAAGGUAAAAGAAAAUUUCCAUUAAAGGGAUGACAUUGGUAGGCUAAUUACUUUGAGCUAGGCAGUGUAGAAAAUGGAAAUAUUAUUUUCUGAGAUGGAGUCUCACUCUGUUGCCCAGGUUGGAGUGCAAUGGUGCUAUCUUGGCUCACUGCAACCUCCACCUCCCGGAUUCAAGCGAUUCUUCCGCCCCAGCCCUCCAAGUAGCUGAGAUUAUCACGCCUGGCCAAUUUUUAUUAUACAAACUUUAGAAAGUAAAACUGGGCAGAAUCUUGGCUCAUGGAUAUAUAAAAAUUGGUGAGAAAGCAUUAUCAGUGGCAUGCGCUAAACCUUGAGAAACUGAGAGCUAAGCUAUCAGGACGCAAAGGCCUAAGAAUGAUAGAAUGGACUUUGGGGACUCUGGGUGGGGGAAGGGUGGGAGGGGGUGAGGGAUAAAAGACUACACAUUGGGUACAGUGUGCACUGAUCAGGUGAUGGGUACACCAGAAUCUCAGAAAUCACCACUAAAGAACUUAUCCAUGUAACCAAACACUUACCUGUUCCCCAAAAAGUAUUGGGGGGGAAAAAAGAACUUAUAACCCCCCACAAGAGCCAAUACAUUGAGACUUCUGGGAAAAAAUUCUUCUGAGAAACCAUCUGGGCCCAGUCCUUUUUGAUGAGCCAAUUCCUUGAUAAUUUUGUGUAUUUCUUCUGUGGAGCUUAGUUUGCCUAACAUCCUCUCUCUAUGAGGUUCAAUUUUAGUAAAUUGUAUUUUCAUUAACAAUUAUCCAUAUGAUAUAGAUUCUCAAAUUUAUUUGCCUAAAGCUGUGGAAAAUCUCUUAGAAUUUAAAAUUUUCUCUCUUUAUAGUUAUUUUUCCCUUAUUGAUGCUUACUUUGUGUAUUUGUAUUACUAUCUUUUUUUUUAAUUAAUAUUGCUAGUGGUUCUUUUUGUGCAGUUUUUUUUUUCUCCAAAGAAAAGGAUUUUGUUUAUGAAUUGUUUUUUUAUUCUCUGACCUCAGUAGUUCACUUGAACCUUUACAGUUUAACUUUUAGGCUCUGUUUUGGUUUCCUUUGUUACCUUUCUAGCUAUUUGAGUUGAGAAUUUAUUUACUUUAUUUUUUAUUUUUUUU